CAGAAAGAAGAAGAGAGGAAGAAGAGAGAAAGGAAGGAGAAGAGGGAGAGAGAACCUAGAUGGAACAAUCCUUAACCGAUUGGAGUGAUUCAAAAGCCUAAACUACUAUAAAUCUUCCCAUCUUUCAUAAUCCCAGCCUUGUUUGGAGUGGGGAGCAUUGUGGAGAGAGAUAUUGCCUCUCAAAAAAUUCGGCCCUUUGUGAGAUUUUGGAGUUUUGGGAAUUUCUACCUCCAUGGGAGCUUGAGGAACGCUCCUUGCUUGGUUGUGUAACCAUUGGUGGAUUGAGGCAUUUGGACCAACCGUAAGUGAUCAACCAUUGGAGCAAGCUAUGGAGCUUGAUUAGCUCCAUUGGAUAGGUUUUGUUUGAGAAGAGUGAUUAUUGUAAUUGGCUGCUGAAACUGUCGGUGAUGAACAAAGGUCGAAUUGAAGCUUGAGGUAAGGAUGCUGCAGGAGCCACCAGUGGCAAGUGGCCAUAUCUGGAUUAGCAUAUGCAUGAGGAUCCUAUAUUUUGAUAUUAUACAUGUUGUUUUGUAGCUCACAUGUAUAGGAUUGUAAUUCAUAGACCAUGGAUAGAUGUAUGAUUGUAUAUUGGAAUGGACUUAGCCUAUGCUCAUGCCUUUUGUCAUCUCUUUUGUUGAUGGGAGCCAAGGGAAUGAUCAUAGUGUUUUGUAAGCUAAGUUCCAUGAUU